AGAUGAUCAGCUUCAUUCCCCCCUUCCUCAGCUCCUCCAAGCUGAAGAAGCGGUCGGCAAAGGAGCGCCGGUCGGUAUCUCGAUCGGAAAACUCCUCCUUUGCCUCCACCACCUCCACCUCUUCUGAGGAUUUAUCUCCCACCCCGAGAUCUAUCCUCCCUAGGACGAUCACUGGGCGGGAAUUGGAGGUUGUGAUGCGGCACCUCGAUCCUGAUGGCCCUACUGAGGCUGAGGUGCUCGCAACUUUAUCGGACGCCGGUGUUUCUGUGUCGAGAUCCGGACGGAUUGCUCUCACAGAACUCACGGCGCUCGGUGGAGCUGGGGGAAGUGAGGAGAUGAG
rnacentral:misc_RNA from 1 species